AAAAAAAAAAAAAAAACUCCAAGCUUUUCUACCAUUAUUAGUUAAGAAUGAUGUCUUCAAAAGUCAUCAGUAUCCUUGAGCAAUUUCUCAUUGUCGUGGUUCCUAUUUUGUAUCUCAGCAAGUAAAGCGUUGGUUUUAUAUGCUGGGUAACGCGGCUUCAAAUGAAGGCUCAGAAUGGAAUCACAUGAGCCAUUCAACCACAAGAAAAGAAGACUGCCAAGUAAGAGAGAAAAGCCUCUAAGGUUAAUUCCUUCCAUAUAUAUGUAGAUUAUCAUUGUUAAAAAAUGAUGAAAAAGAAAAUUGAUCUUCCAAAAAUCCUAAUCUGUGCAUUACAAAUUUACAAACAUCACCAAGGCGAAUACCCUACAUCAAGGAUACAACUUUUGAUUGCAAAAUCCAACCAAGAUUCAAGUCAUGCUUUCCUUACAAAAACUAGUUGGGAAGGCAACCAAGACUUGUAUAUUCUGCUGCUCUAUCAUUAAUUACACUGGACUGAAGCAUAUAUGGAUCUAUUUCAAGUCUCUAAGCAAUCAUAUAUGACAACUUGGCUCUAAAGAUACACGUAUGCCAAAUCCAGAAAAGCAGGAAGCAUAGUUACUUGAGUAUCUCCUCCUGAUUAAAUGGUUUAAUUGGCCUUUUCUCUUGACCUUGAGGCCUUCUGAUUACAUGGUUGCUUCUGCAUGGGCUCCACAAGCAGCAAGCAUGACAUCACAUAGGCUAACAGUUCUUCGUGGUGAGAGAAUGUGAAGUCCAAGUGAGCAUAUUCAUACUCUUUAUAUGAUACAUCCACACCAGCAUCCUUCAUCAACCUGUAAUGGACUUGCACCAUUGAAUGCCGAAUCACAUUGUCCUUCCUUCCAGCGACCAGAUCAACAGGAAUAUCAAUGAGCCCAUAGUAUUCACCCAAGUCCAGAGGUUCUGGAGAUCCGUACAAUUCCAUGUUGGCAGAUGCACUUCCAUAAUCAUACAUUAUAAAUUUUUUUGCAUGUUUAAUUUGUGCAAGGUGGUGAGCUACAUAGAAUGAGAGUCCUGGCAUGUCAUUCAUGUUGUAGUGCGGUAAUCCUAAUACUCCUAUCCAAUUUGAGCUGUCUCCACCGACAACAUAACCCAUUAGGGUCUGAACCAGUCCUCCGACUGCAGGGUAGUUAUGAAAGUCACGAGCCAACUUGUUCAUCAACAUACGGAAAAAUUUUGUUGGUAUGUACAAGCCAGGUACAAUAGGCCCUAGAAUAGGGGCCAAAGGAAGCAUAAGAUACUCCAUAGCUGUAAAUAGCAGAGGGGAGUCAUGAUGGAAACCAGCAGGUGACAAUAGAAUCAA
rnacentral:misc_RNA from 1 species